CCGCGGCGCAUUAGCUAGUUGGUGAGGUAACGGCUCACCAAGGCAACGAUGCGUAGCCGACCUGAGAGGGUGAUCGGCCACACUGGGACUGAGACACGGCCCAGACUCCUACGGGAGGCAGCAGUAGGGAAUCUUCCGCAAUGGACGAAAGUCUGACGGAGCAACGCCGCGUGAGUGAUGAAGGUUUUCGGAUCGUAAAGCUCUGUUGUUAGGGAAGAACAAGUGCCGUUCAAAUAGGGCGGCACCUUGACGGUACCUAACCAGAAAGCCACGGCUAACUACGUGCCAGCAGCCGCGGUAAUACGUAGGUGGCAAGCGUUGUCCGGAAUUAUUGGGCGUAAAGGGCUCGCAGGCGGUUUCUUAAGUCUGAUGUGAAAGCCCCCGGCUCAACCGGGGAGGGUCAUUGGAAACUGGGGAACUUGAGUGCAGAAGAGGAGAGUGGAAUUCCACGUGUAGCGGUGAAAUGCGUAGAGAUGUGGAGGAACACCAGUGGCGAAGGCGACUCUCUGGUCUGUAACUGACGCUGAGGAGCGAAAGCGUGGGGAGCGAACAGGAUUAGAUACCCUGGUAGUCCACGCCGUAAACGAUGAGUGCUAAGUGUUAGGGGGUUUCCGCCCCUUAGUGCUGCAG
rnacentral:rRNA from 1 species